AUUGAACGCUGGCGGCAGGCCUAACACAUGCAAGUCGAGCGGAUGAAGGGAGCUUGCUCCUGGAUUCAGCGGCGGACGGGUGAGUAAUGCCUAGGAAUCUGCCUGGUAGUGGGGGAUAACGUCCGGAAACGGGCGCUAAUACCGCAUACGUCCUGAGGGAGAAAGUGGGGGAUCUUCGGACCUCACGCUAUCAUAUGAGCCUAGGUCGGAUUAGCUAGUUGGUGGGGUAACGGCCUACAAAGGCGACGAGCCGUAACUGGUCUGAGAGGAUGAUCAGUCACACGGGAAGUGAGACACGGUACAGACUCCUACGGGAGGCAGCAGUGGGGAAUAUUGGACGAUGGGCGAAAGCCUGAUCCAGCCAUGCCGCGGGUGUGAAGAAGGUCUUCGGAUUGUAAAGCACUUUAAGUUGGGAGGAAGGGCAGUAAGUUAAUACCUUGCUGUAUUGACGUUACCAACAGAAUAAGCACCGGCUAACUUCGUG
rnacentral:rRNA from 1 species